GAGGCGUAGCCGAGUGGUUUAGGGCGCUGGAGUUGAAAUCUGGAGGUCCCUGGUUCAAAUCUUUCACCCUGCUGCUAGCU
rnacentral:tRNA from 1 species